rnacentral:rRNA from 1 species
GAUGAACGCUGGCGGUAUGCUUAACACAUGCAAGUCGAACGGUCUUUUAGGAGAUAGUGGCGGACGGGUGAGUAACACGUGAGAACCUACCUUCAGAAUGGGGAUAACAGUUGGAAACGACUGCUAAUACCCGAUGUGCCGAGAGGUGAAAGAUUUAUCGUCUGAAGAUGGGCUCGCGGCUGAUUAGCUAGUUGGAAGUGUAAUGGACUCCCAAGGCGACGAUCAGUAACUGGUCUGAGAGGAUGAGCAGUCACACUGGAACUGAGAAACGGUCCAGACUCCUACGGGAGGCAGCAGUGGGGAAUUUUCCGCAAUGGGCGAAAGCCUGACGGAGCAAUACCGCGUGAGGGAGGAAGGUUCUUGGAUUGUAAACCUCUUUUCUAGGGGAAUAAAAAAAUGAAGGUACCCUAGGAAUAAGCAUCGGCUAACUCCGUGCCAGCAGCCGCGGUAAUACGGAGGAUGCAAGCGUUAUCCGGAAUUAUUGGGCGUAAAGAGUCCGUAGGUGGAAGUUCAAGUCUGCGGUUAAAGAAUGGAGCUUAACUCCAUAAAGGCCGUGGAAACUGAGCAACUAGAGUGCGGUAGGGGUAACGGGAAUUCCCAGUGUAGCGGUGAAAUGCGUAGAUAUUGGGAAGAACAUCGGUGGCGAAAGCGCGUUACUGGGCCGAAACUGACACUGAGGGACGAAAGCUAGGGUAGCGAAAGGGAUUAGAUACCCCUGUAGUCCUAGCCGUAAACGAUGGAUACUAGGCGUAGC